GAUAUUGCAGUUAAAAGGAAGCUUACCAAAAAAAGGUCACAGACGUCGGAAGCUUACCCAAAACGCCUAUCGACCGAAAGCAAAGUCAUCUGAUAGCAUCAAAACCCCAUGUCCGAAAGUUGGAAAACCCUAGAGUUUGAAGAACUCGUCGGAAUAAGACCAGAGAUGUCGGAAAAUCACCCAAAAUAUCUACUGAUACAUGAUCGGAGCCUUAAACAAUCAGAAAAGUGCCGAUUAUCCGAUUAACAUUCAUCGAAAAAUAUACGAACAAUAUUUUUCUCAGAUAACCGAAGAAAAACUUCAAUAAAAGCUUCAGCAAGUAUCGAUAACACAUAACAGAGAAGGAUCGGAAGAUUUUCCUGCUCUGAUACCAUGAAAACAUGACAAAAGCUUCGGCAAUUAUCGAUAACACAUAACAGAGAAGGAUCGGAAGAUUCUCCUACUUUGAUACCAUGAAAACAUGGAGAUUUGAAGAUGAAAACCAGAGAAGAUGAAGAUGAACAGGAAGAGACAGAGAGAGAAAUGAGAAGCUUCUGGAGGAACCGAGAAGCCAAAAUGAAU
rnacentral:lncRNA from 1 species